rnacentral:rRNA from 1 species
ACGCUCGACACCUACGGGAGGCGGCAGUGGGGAAUAUUGCACAAUGGGGGAAACCCUGAUGCAGCGACGCCGCGUGAGCGAAGAAGUAUUUCGGUAUGUAAAGCUCUAUCAGCAGGGAAGAAACUGACGGUACCUGACUAAGAAGCACCGGCUAAAUACGUGCUAGCAGCCGCGGUAAUCUGAGCGGGCUGGCAAGGC